AGUGGGAUAGCUGAGCCAUAUGGUACUUCCAUUCCAAAUUUCCUAAGGAAUUUCCAUACUGCUUUCCACAUUGGCUGCACCAAUUUGCAGUCCCACCAGCAAU
rnacentral:pre_miRNA from 1 species